UAGGGAAUAUUAGAAAUGGACGAAAGUCUGAUCUAGCAACACCGCGUGUGCGAAGCAGGCCUUCGGGUUGUAAAGCACUUUUUGGAAGGAUUAGGAAGGAAUGUACUUCCAGAAUAAGUCUCGGCUAACUACGUGCCAGCAGCCGCGGUAACACGUAGGAGGCAAACGUUAUCCGGAUUUACUGGGCGUAAAGCGCGUGUAGGUGGUUCUGUAAGUAGGGCGUGAAAGCUCCUGGCUCAACUGGGAGAGGACGUUCUAAACUGCAGAGCUAGAGGAUGGUAGAGGGAGGUGGAAUUCCUGGUGUAGCGGUGGAAUGCGCAGAUAUCCGGACGAACACCAGUGGCGAAAGCGGCCUCCUGGACCAUUCCUGACACUCAGACGCGAAAGCUAGCGUAGCAAACGGGAUUCGAUCCCCUGCUCGUU
rnacentral:rRNA from 1 species